rnacentral:lncRNA from 1 species
AUAAAUCUGGAAUCCAUGACACACAAAACUAAAAAAAACAUGAGAGAGAUCUAGGCAUAUAAAUGAAGAAGAAAGAAUACCAACACAGACACAAGACACUGAAUACUUAUAUAGGUAACAGAGGGAAGAAAAGAAAACAUAACAUGAAUCCCUGAUAGAAACCAAGAGAAUCCUAUACAUAGAAGAAAGAGUCAGGACACCAACAAUUGGAACAAAUGAUUCACUAGAAUAUCACUUUAAACAACCGACCAUAACCACCU